rnacentral:SRP_RNA from 1 species
GCCGGGCAUGGUGGCGCGUGCCUGUAGUCCCAGCUACUCUGGAGGCUAAGGCUGGAGGAUUGCUUGAGCCCAGGAGUUCUGGGCUGUAGUGCGCUAUGCUGAUCGGGUGUCUGCACUAAGUUUGGCAUCAAUAUGGUGACUUCCUGGAAGUGGGUACCACCAGGUUGCCUAAGGAAGGGGUGAACCAGCCCACGUCGGAAUCAGAGCCAUGCUGAUCAGUAGUGGGAUAGGGCCUGUGAAUAGCCACUGCACUCCAGCCUGGGCAACAUAGUGAGACCCUGUCUCU